UACGGAGGGUGCAAGCGUUGCUCGGAAUUAUUGGGCGUAAAGGGCAGGUAGGUGGUCUCAUUUGUCUGGGGUGAAAGCCUUGAGCUUAACUCAAGAAGUGCCCCGGAAACGGUGAGACUAGAGUGCUGGAGAGGUAAGUGGAAUUCCCGGUGUAGCGGUGAAAUGCGUAGAGAUCGGGAGGAACACCUGCGGCGAAGGCGGGUUGCUGGGCUGACACUGACGCUGAAGUGCGAAAGCUAGGGGAGCGAACGGG
rnacentral:rRNA from 1 species